AAUAGAGCUUUCUCCUAAGCCCUACGCUCCUGUCUGCUAAGCUGUGCAUUCUUAUCACUGCAGAGUGUGGUUCUUGUUUGCUUUUGCAGGUGUUUGUAACUUGGUGAAUAACGCUCUGAAGGCAUCACAGACUGCCUGCUUGUCUCUGCAGUGCUCGGGGCUUUUCUGAGCUGCAGGCUCGCUGCAGCCCCGUGGCAUAGCCUUGCAUCUGGUGACGAACUGAAGCUGGAGAAUCCUGGCAGCAGAGGACGCUCCUGCCCCACAGAAGGGCUCACAGCUCCACCGCAGCUCCACCGACCUCAGUGCUGGUGAGGAGGCUGAGAUGCCUCCAAGUGAUGAAUGCAGUCCACCCAACCUUACACCUCGUGUGGUUCACUGUGCGAGGCGACCAGGAAGAAAGGUGGGCACAGAAUCACAGGAGCUAAAAUAGUCUGAAAAAGAAGAGUCCAAAUCCUUGCCUUUGGAAGGCCCAGCUCGUUACCCAACUCCUGAGCAAAGAAAAAGAAGAAUAAAGGCUUCAGUCACCACACAUACUCACACUGGGAGGUGGGAGUAGGAGGGAGGUGGGAGGUGAAAGGAGGGAUGGAGAAGAGGACGGAUGGACAACGUGG
rnacentral:lncRNA from 7 species